rnacentral:tRNA from 1 species
CGGGGUGUAGCGCAGCGGCAGCGCGCCUGGUUUGGGACCAGGAGGUCGGCGGUUCAAAUCCGCCCACCCCGACCA